rnacentral:rRNA from 1 species
UACGUAGGGGGCGAGCGUUGUCCGGAUUUAUUGGGCGUAAAGAGCUCGUAGGCGGUUCGAUAAGUCGGACGUGAAAUCUCCACGCUCAACGUGGAGGGGCCGUUCGAUACUGUCGUGACUCGGAGUCCGGUAGGGGAGUGUGGAAUUCCCGGUGUAGCGGUGAAAUGCGCAGAGAUCGGGAGACACCCGUAGCGAAGGCGGCACUCUGGGCCGGUACUGGACGCUGAGGAGCGAAAGCGUGGGGAGCGA